rnacentral:lncRNA from 1 species
GGGCUUUGGUAGGAUUAGAUAAAAUCUAAUACAUAUGGGGUUAAAGGGUUUAACCCGAUUGUUUUUCUGCUGUGAUUGUAAAGAUUUUUGAAAUCUGUACAUGCAUCCUAUCUGACUUUCUAAUAUUUUGUGUGUGAUCUAUUGAGUUCCACAUCUAGCCAACAGUAGGUCCAGAUAUAAGUUGAUCUGAUUUGAUUAGAAUCC